CCUGGACCCGCUGGAGCUGAACUCCAGCAAAAUCUCCUUCUGUGUUCUGAAGGAAAGGAACAAGGCUCUAUGAGAGAAGCAGAGGUGGCUGACGACAGGGCCAUGGGCAGUAGAAUGAAGCUGCCUUGCGGAGCAGGGAAAGAGGGGUGUUUGGUCCAGUCAAACUCAGAGAACCCACAGCUGCCGGGAAGACACUGCAGGAGUAAGGUGCACCAGUAAACUUAUUCUGUAACCCCGGGA